AGCGAACGUUUGCGGCGGGCCUAACACAUGCAAGUCGAACGCACUAGCAAUAGUGAGUGGCGCACGGGUGCGUAACACGUGGGUAAUCAACCCUUCAGCCUGGGAUAACGACUCGAAAGGGUCGCUAAUACCGGAUACGGCGCGAGAGGCUUCGGCUUCUCACGAGAAAGCCACGCAAGGGGCACUGAAGGACGAGCCUGCGGCCCAUCAGCUAGUUGGUGAGGUAAGAGCUCACCAAGGCCAAGACGGGUAGCUGGUCUGAGAGGAUGAUCAGCCACACUGGAACUGAGACACGGUCCAGACUCCUACGGGAGGCAGCAGUGGGGAAUAUUGCGCAAUGGGCGAAAGCCUGACGCAGCCACGCCGCGUGAGCGAUGAAGGCCUCGGUCGUAAGACUCUGUGGGAGGAGACGAAGAAAGACCUGU
rnacentral:rRNA from 1 species